AGAGAGCUUCGGGGCAUAAACUUGUUCUGCACUGAAAUCAAAGUUUAUUUUCGAGGAAAUGUUAUCGUUAACAUGCAGUUUAUAUUCCAGCCUUCCCACCCUGUGAAGGGGGGACAAAGCUGUCCCUGAUAUCUGGGCAGGACAGUUGAGAGGUAUGCGCUAAAUGUAGACAUUCUUAUCUUGUAUCAGUCUGGGAGAGAGGGAAAGUGCGAGCGCACGACUGCAACAUUAACCCCUUCAAAACUACAAGGACCAGCUAAGCAUCACCUGCUAAAUCCACAAGCAGGGAUGUGGUUAAUCAUUACUGGGACAAUCAAUAACAUAUCUCCAUGCAAGCCACACAAGG